CCCAACUCCCCUCGGCCCGAUUUCAAAUUUUCACCGCGAGGUAUGCUUAGGGUUAGGGACUUAGGGUUUGUCUAAAGCGCCGCCGAGCUCUCUUCCCAUCUUCCCUCAGUGUCCCUCUCGGCCUCUCCCCUCUCCGCUCCUCCGCCUCCGCCCAUCUCCUCCGGUCCUCCCCCUUCCGAUUACUUCCUCCUCCCCGUCAAUGGCGACUGUGGCUACAUCACACCCCCCUAACCCCUGUUUCCUUUUACCCCAUGAUAACAAAAUAAAAGAAAAGAAGAAAAGGAAGAAGAUCUCAUCUAUUCCCUCUCCCUGGGAUUUCUUUGGCUCUCAUCGCCUUCCCUCUCCCUCUUCUGUUCGAAGUCUUCCGUGCGUGCGAGCUAUUUAGGGUUCGGGUUUGAUCUCAUCGACGCGAGGUCGGAUCCUCUGCUCUACCGAGCAUGAAGUUUCGCUCAUUUACUUGGUGAUCCAGGGGAUUGUCAUGAAGUUGGUGGUGGAUUCUCAUUUGGUUUAUUGUGGAGAAUAGAUCUCAUCUACCGUGAGGGGAUCUGCAGUUGGACAUCGAUUGACCAAGGAAUUGCCUAUGUGCUGAUGCUAGUGGCCUUAGUCCUCACCUAUCUCAUCCACCCCUUGGAUGCUUCAUCACCCUACAAGCUCUUCUAAGCCCAUUCAUGGACUGAAUUGAUGGAUUUGUUAGGGAAGGAAGCGGGCAUGUUUGGAUUGGUUGUUCAUUUUGUUUGAAUCUGUUGUGGUUUGGGAUUUGAACCUCUGGUUAUAGCAAGUUGGUUGUUGAAGAAUAUAGGCUCUUCCAGAAGAUAUGGAGCAAUAUUUUAAAGGACCAAUGCAAGCUUUUGAUUCUGCUACCGUUUACAGUGUGCAGUGACCUUAAUGUGUUUCUUAUGAUUGAUGCAUGGCGUAUUUAAAAGAAAUCUGUAUACUUUAGAAUAGAAGCUCCUACUGACUUGGGUUGUAAUGAUAGUUGUUCAAUUUUCUGCUGUCUAUCAUAUUAAUUUUUCCUGCAGUGUUUGCUUUUUAUAAUCUAGUGAUUCCAA